CAGCAGACGUGUCCUAGCCAUAUGGCUCAGAUCAGAAAUAAUAGACCUGAAAUUUAUUCAAAGCCGUGGAGCCCAAGAAAUAAGGCCUUCUUUGGGAGAUUUAGGUGAAGCUAUUUAUGGCAAGGUUUCCUCCCCUGAAGUGAUCCUUGAUGAAGGAGAUGUUCCUUGCUCAUCCAAACUGUUUUCUUUGAUGGUGGAUGUGAAUUCAUACUUCUUACUCAGGCAGGGAGAAGGAGAAAUGAGCAUGAAGUCCCAUUCCUGACCAAGAAGCUCUUUGCAGAGGAUAACUCCUGGGAGAAGGAAAAUCAGUUUUCUCCAAUGGACGGACACUGGAUCCACCAAGCAUGCUCCAGGGAAGGCUUCAUGCUCAGGAGUAGUUGGCCAACACAAAGUCAAUGCCAUGUGAUUUGUGUGCACGUGUGUGCAUUUUUCUUUUUGUUCUAUUUAUUUACUUAUUAAUUUAUCUAUUCAUUUAAUUAUUUUGAGAGAGAAAGAACACAAAGUUGGGUAGAAAGAUUUGGGAAAAAUUAGGGGAGCAGAAAAAAAAUGUGUUCAAAAUAUAUUGCACAAAAAAAGUCAAUGCAUACAAAAAAAUUUAAUGAAAUGUGUUGUUGUUCAUCUAAAGAAGAUAUUUGAUUGCUUGUUUCGGUACACAAAAUACCAGACAAUGAUUCAUAUCAGAUUUGUUUUGGGAAAGGAUUGAUCCGGGAACAAGAGACUCAGAGCCACUCUGUAACUGUGACCUAGUUUGGAAAGAACACCCCAGAGUUACAGUGAAUCCUUUGGGCGCUGAGGUCUUAAGAGGAGUGGCUUUGGUUCCUGCGUAUCGCUGGCGCCCCCUGCUGGCCACAUGCUCCCCUGCUUUGCUCGGAUAGUUGGUAGAUCACAACCCCUGCCUGGGUUUUCUCUUCCCGCUUCCCAGCUCCAAGCUUAUGUUAGUUACACCACCUUUAGAUCCAAGAGGAAUUCCUCAGGCAGCGAUUCUCAGUUGUCAACCACACUGCAUUUUCUAGGGUAGCGUGGCGAGACGCUUCAGGCUAAAGUUAUAUUGGUCACGGACUGUGUGUAGUUUCUGUACAGGACGAUGGAUUUAGCUGGAUUGCUUUCAAAUCUGAGGAAGGAGAAAUCUUGCUACUCUGUACUCCUGAGCCCAGGAACUGUUAUCUGAAGUCACUAUGGACAUUUUAACAAGCACAUCAAAGUACUGGAUCCAUCCAGGGCAUGGACGCCACGCCUCCCCGCCUCCUGACCUCAGCAAUACUAUUUUUGGGGUCAUCCCACUUUGAAAUCAGAAGUCCUUGUCCCUGUAAUGCUGCCGUGAACACUGCCUAUGUCUGCCCUGACUCCAGGCCCCAGAUGCUACUUGACCUGCAUGGCACAGUCACCACUGGGAGCUCAUGGUUCCUGUCACCUGAAUUUCAUCUCCACCCGUGAGCAAGCACCAUUGGUCUGUUGACUCCCAGAGUGUGAGGGGACA